rnacentral:lncRNA from 1 species
GAGGCUGUCAUGGCGUCGCCCUUCAGUGGGGCACUACAGCUGACCGACUUGGACGACUUCAUCGGGCCAUCUCAGGUGGGCCGGCCAAGGGCGAGUCGGGCAGGAGGAGGGUCCGAGCCUGGCCGUGCACCUCGGGAAACCUCUCUCGUCUGUGUCUUUUCCCAGGGCCCAGGACCCAGGGCCUCAGUCAGUCUAGUUCCCUUUUCACAAACACAGACAACUGAGGCCAGGGAGGGCCAGACAACGCGGUUACUGGGCCCGGAGCGAUCCCUGGGACCAUGGGAGUGUUUAGUGGUGACAGGCAGGUUUAGUGUUUAAAAAAAAAAGGUGGGGGGACUUGUUGUUAUGUGAUCUUAAGUUACUGUUGUAGUAGUGUCACCCAGCUGGUGAUGCAGAGACAUGGUGGGGCUGAGUUAGCCUCCACACACCUGUGAGAUAUCCCUUCCCACUCCUCUCUCAGAGCCAGUUGUCAUCUCUGUGGACAGGGACCAUGUUGAAGGGACAGGUUUGAUGUCCACUUGGGCCACAGCCACAGCUAAUGUUCCUGACGUUGCCUCGAGGAAGAGAGAGGGAUACAGACAGACCGCCCUGAAAACAGGAGCUGCUGCCCUUGCUGGGUCUUCCUUUGUCUCCAGAGCUAGCCAAGUCCCAUGACCCAUAAAAGACGGGCUGAGCUGCCACACGGACAGGAUGAACUGGGCCAUCUUACCCGAGACUGGCCCUUUUCUGGAAAGCCACCAAGGUUCAGGAAGCGAUAACAGGAGAUGUCCAAGAGAAGGGGAGAGACAUGGAGUUUCAUCUGUGGUCGUGGGAUGGAGGUGACCUCUAGAUGUUUCCAAGGAAAGCCUUCCUGUCUGGCCAGGCCUCUGACACUCUGAUCUCCGGGGGUGUGCUGCUAUGUGCACGUAGGAAGGGCAGGCUAGUCAGGGCUUCUUGCAUUAGCUUGCAUAUAGAGUUUGUAGCAGAUUUCAUGGUGAUUCUGGAGAAAGAGUGGCCUUGAUGGCAUUCUCCUCACCUUGUACAGAGAAGGGUGGGCAACCAGAGCUCAGCAUGGCUUCAGUGGCAGGAAGGUGGUAGAAUUGGCCUCGGUGGUGAGCUUCACUCUAUGGCCGGUAGCCAACCAUCCCUGAGGCCCUCCAUACCCAGCCCCCCACCCCACUCCCCACCCUCCCCACCCCCCGUCCAAGUUGCUUUCUCCUAAUAGAGCCUGGUGUGGGGUCUUUCCUGGUGUAGAAUUGCAUCAAGCCUGUAAAGGUGGCUAAGAAGCCAGGAAGUGGCAUAGCCAAGAUCCACAUUGAAGACGAUGGCAGUUACUUCCAAGUGAACCAAGUAAGGACCCUGAGGUCUCACCACAUCCCUGCUGGGGGCUGGCGGUGGCAGGAGGGGGAGGGAGGCUGGGGUGUGGAUCUGAAACACACAUCUUCUUCUGCCUUUCCCAGUCGCAGAUGUGGCCACCCUGAAACUCACUGCAUCUCCCCAGCUCUCUCACUGGUCACAUUCACUGACCACGGGGAGCUGAGAUGAUGAACAGGGCUGCCAUGGUGAGCAGCCAGUCUGUCCUGUUCUGCACGGGGCAGGAGGAGCCUCCCCUCCUCCUUUGCCCCCUACGUUUAGUAGCAUAAGAUUUUGAGGGGGUUGGUUCCCUCAAGCCCCUCCUCCCUCUAAUCUGAAAGUUAGAUCCUGAUGUCUGUUAAAAUUAACCCUGCCUGGCUGCCCUUUGCACUCUAAGGAAUCCCCUUCAAAAUACCGUGCGCCACUGCCCUGAGAAGGGAGGCCCAGCCAUGGGACCUCUGAAUAGGGGAGGAACCUUGGGCAGGUUCAGGGAAUGGGUGUGCAUAUCGCCAUGAGCAGUGACAAGCCCAGCUGUUUGUCUACAACAGUGACCUCGUGACAGUCUGUGGCAUCAGCUAGACCCCAGUGUACCAGGAGGCCCUGGUUCUCAACAAGGGGUCCCAUGGAUGGAGGGACAGAGGAAGGUGCCCAUCACCACUGGUCUGUGCUUUAAGGACAAGUGGCCUUGUCCGCAUGAUGCUGGUGUAGCCUGGGCCUGUGGACCUUUGGUUUCCUGGCGUGGUUAACCUCAGGUUGGGGCAUUGGCACCAAGCACAGGCUCCGAGAAUAGCUGAAGCUCACCUAGCCCUGGCUCAGACCAUUUCUGCAUCUGCAGCAGUGUUGAUGGGCUCAGCCUGGCACCACAUUUGCAUGACAAGAACCACUGAGGGUGUCCUGGAGGCCCUGGUUUGAAUACUGGGGUCCUGGGUCUGUUCUACCAAUUCUGAUAGUUGUUACUGUCUGUACAGCCUUCUCUCGCAUUCCCCCACCCUCUCUUCCUUCCUCCAUUCUUGGUUAUCCCUCCUCUAUUCCCAGCCUGUCCCCACAGACCAGAGCAGCAGCAGCCAGUCCCAGCAGGGCAGUUGCUUCUGCACUGACUUAUGGAAAGACAGCCUUGCUCAUGGGGUCCUGGUACUCCAGUCAAGCCUGUGCCAAAAGCUGAAACUUGAUGUCAGUGGGAACACCGGGGUGUCUAAAGCAUCUGUGUAUGUGUGUGAUACACACUUCAUUUAAAAACUGGGUGUCAGGGCUGAAGGUAGAGCUUCCUGGUGGAGUGUUGGCUUCUUGUUUGCGGGGCCCUGAAUUCCACCUACUGUCAGG